AUGGCAACCAACGCCGGCCACCCCGCCUGGCUCCUCACUGCCGCCGAAGGCUACGUCGGCGACCGGUCCAACGAGAGGACCGCCACAGGCUUCACGAGUAAGGGCCUGAGCAUCAAGGCGUCAUUUUUUCCCAACCGCCCGCCACAACCAUCCAAGCUAUGGGCGCACUGCCCAGAGGCCGCGGUCGUCGAGACCCCCCGUGUCCUCUGCAUCGCCGGCGACCUGAUCCUCUUCCGGGUCCCCAUCUCCUCCGGUCCUGUCCGAGGAAACAGUUUCUUGUGGCCGCUGGAUAGCGACUAUUUCGUCUACCGCGCUGACCCCAAUUUGCGAGUGCUCAAGCAACUCCUCACCGACGUGCACAGCAGAAAAUUCGAAGACUGUGAGGUUGGUAUUCUUCCCCGUGGUCUCCACGACUACACCAUCGCCGCGCUGGUUCCUGUUCCUCCCACCAUCGACACGUUCAAGCUCCAUUUGUUCCACUCCGAGACAUGCAGCUGGACCUCCAUGGUGCUGCCUGUGGCGGAGCCACAGGAGGGCUUCGAUCGCGUCAUCCCCACAAACACGGAUCUUCAUCGCCAUGAUACUUCCAACGUUAUCACAAUCGGUGGUGAGUACGGCACCAUGGGCUGGGUCGAUCUCUGGCGAGGGAUCCUGUUCUGUGAUGUGCUGCGUGAGAAGCCAGCUCUCCGUGGAAUACCGUUGCCGCUGCCGAUGUAUCAUAUCACAGGCGGCGAUGGGAAGGGAUUAUACUUAGGCCGUGCAAUGGAUUGCCGAGGCAUUGCCUUCGUCAAUGGCUGUCUCAAGUUCGUCCAACUGGACAUCACAGGCAAUUACCUCUUAAACGGUCCAAUAGACGGGGAAACAGGGUUUCCAGCUUUGCUGGUGUCUGACUGGGCGAUCUCCUCAUGGACCAAUAGCAAGAUGGACAAUUCUUACAAAGCUUGGGGCGAUGCUGAAUGCACGGUCCACGCUUCUGAGGUCACAAUCAAAACUGAUAUGAUUUCGGACCCGACUGGAAUGCUGCUGCUGCCAUCGGAGGAGGGUGUUGAGAACCCAGAACAAGAGGCAGCCUACUUCCCGCGGCUUGUGAUCUCGGACCCCUCUCCGAGCUUGGAUGGUGACGGUGUUGUUUACCUAAUUGCCAGGGAGAAAUUAUAUCACCCAAAGUCAUGGGUCCUUGCUCUUGACAUGAAUAGCAGGACGCUUCAAAGUGUUGUUCCGUUUGGCAUCGUAGAAGAUCCAUGUGAUUCUGUCGUGUAUUGCACUAGCAGGUCUGCCUCCAAUGCUUGA
rnacentral:rRNA from 1 species